rnacentral:rRNA from 1 species
GACGAACGCUGGCGGCGUGCUUAACACAUGCAAGUCGAACGGAAAGGCCCUGCUUUUGUGGGGUGCUCGAGUGGCGAACGGGUGAGUAACACGUGAGUAACCUGCCCUUGUCUUUGGGAUAACUUCAGGAAACUGGGGCUAAUACCGGAUAGGAGCUCCUGCUGCAUGGUGGGGGUUGGAAAGUUUCGGCGGUUGGGGAUGGACUCGCGGCUUAUCAGCUUGUUGGUGGGGUAGGUGCUUACCAAGGCUAUGACGGGUAGCCGGCCUGAGAGGGUGACCGGCCACAUUGGGACUGAGAUACGGCCCAGACUCCUACGGGAGGCAGCAGUGGGGAAUAUUGCACAAUGGGCGGAAGCCUGAUGCAGCAACGCCGCGUGCGGGAUGACGGCCUUCGGGUGGUAAACCGCUUUCGCCUGUGACGAAGCGUGAGUGACGGUAAUGGGUAAAGAAGCACCGGCUAACUACGUG